UCACGAGUGCGCUUGUGUGGAAUGAUCGGAUUGUCUGAUGGUGUAGUUGCAAAACGUGCUCGUCGAACUCCUACAGUCGAAACUUCUCGACCACGUUUCCACGCCGACGGUGAGGCUCUUCUUCGCGGUACAGAGUCUAUACAGAGUCAGCUGAAAAAUGACUGAAUCGUGCUCAUCUGAUGAAUCUGGAGAUGAAGAGGAAGUUUUUCGUGAUUUCGAUGCAGAAGCGCAGCUAAUCAUUCAAACGGAAACGUUACCAAAGAAAUCUGCGAAUAGAUAUAUGUUAGUUUAUGAUACUUACAAAAAGCGGCAGAAUGAUCAUAAAAGUUCUCUGUCAGACUCUCAAGAAAGUAACUUAAUAGUGUAUUUUAAAGAACUAACCUCAAAGUUGAAACCGCCAACUUUGUGGAGCAUCUGGUCAAUGUUAAAGAAAACAUUAAAUACUAGAGACAAUGUUGAUAUUAGUAAAUUUCAUAAUUUAAAAAGUAUGAUGAAAAAAAUUCUAAAGGCUAUAAACCAAAAAAAUCAUUAGUAUUAAAAUGGACUGAUAUAGUAAAGUUUUUAGACACUGCAUCAGACUAUAUACAUUUAGCUUUAAAGCUCUGAGGUGCAAUGAACUCACAAAUCUUAAAGUGCAAGAUAUUGAAGAUUUGGGCAACAGUUUCAAUCAAUGAAACAAAAAAUGAUAAACGUCGUCAAUUCAUAAUUGGAGAACAUUUUUAUGAUAAAGUCAAGAAAUACAUCUCGUUGAGACCAAGUGAUCUAUCAAGUGACAUGUUUUUUAUCCAAUAUCAGAAAGGAAAGUGCGUUCAUCAAGUCAUCGGUAGGAAUAAAAUAGGAGAAACACCUCAAGCAAUCGCUUCAUAUUUAGACUUACUUAAAUAAAUAAAAAAAAAAUAUUUAGACUUACAAGACGCAAACAGAUAUACUGGACAUUGCUUCCGUAGGACUGGAGCAACACUUUUGUCUGACUCGAGUGCAAAUAUCACAAUGCUCAAGCAGCUAGGAAGAUGGAAAUCAACUAAUAUAGCACAAGUUAUAUUGGUUAUAUUCUCUACAGAUUACGUAGAAAACUCUAUGAAAAACAGAGAGAAGAUUUAUGAAAGCAUAAUCCAUGCAUCUGUACCUAAUACUCAUUCAGUUUUACUACAAUGUCAACCAUCGACCAGUAAGAACAGUUCAAGUAAAAUCAUUGCGAAUGGGUCUGCAUUAUCAGAAGCAGUGGAUGAUGAUGUUUUUGAUGACAUUGAAAUAAGUGAGCAAGAUUUAAUUGCGAUUGAUCAAAUAAGUAAAAAAAAAAAAUAAGUACUUAAAUCAUCGACAGCUGAUUUUACAACUGCAAGGAACACAAAAAUAGAUGUACCAAGCAGCAAGGAAUCAACGCCACCAAAACAUUUUAGUUCAAGAUCACCUGUUAAAGUUUGUUUCAAAAGAUCAGAAAAUGAACGACCGUUAAAAAAAGUAAAGCACACAGAAAGUAAAUCUUGUGCACGUGGACAAGUUUUACAAUAUUUAUCAGAUCAAAGUGUACGCAAUAAUAGUGAUGUGAACAUCGUAGAUCAAGAAAUACAGAAUAAUGUAAGUUCUGAUGAUAGGAUUAAGUAUGAAAAUUGCGUAUUUCAUGGGAACAUUAUCAAUAAUUAUUAUUGUUCAUGUACAAAUUUAAAAAAAUAAACGAAAGGAUAAUCAUGUAUAGUUAAUAAAGAAACUUUGUAAGAAA